rnacentral:rRNA from 1 species
CCUGGGGCUGUAGUAGGUCCCAAGGGUUGGGCUGUUCGCCCAUUAAAGUGGUACGCGAGCUGGGUUCAGAACGUCGUGAGACAGUUCGGUCCCUAUCCGUCGCAGGCGUAGGAAAUUUGAGAAGGCCUGUCCUUAGUACGAGAGGACCGGGAUGGACGUACCUCUGGUGUACCAGUUGUCCUGCCAAGGGCAUGGCUGGGUAGCUAUGUACGGAAUGGAUAAGCGCUGAAAGCAUCUAAGCGCGAAGCCAAC